CGUGGAGGUUGCUAUAGAAACCUUGUGGUAAAAACCUUGACCAUUAUAGUGCAUUUGCUUCCUGGGAUUGGAAGGACACUGGAUAUAGGCAGUUUGGCCAAACCAUUAUAAAAAACUGUGUUUGCAUUUUCUAUCCCUACACUUUUACAUUUCAAGUCGACUUUAUAUUUCACGUAGUCAACUAUUUUCGCUACACUUCAAUUAUCUU
rnacentral:lncRNA from 1 species